UGUCCUCCAUAGGAGGUCUAUAUUGAGCAGAUUCUUUUUGGUAUUGGGUGGUGGAACCGGAGCGUGCUCCAUCCACACCAUGCAUUGACCUGGUAUUGCAGUGCUUCCAGGACCGGUGC
rnacentral:snRNA from 1 species